rnacentral:rRNA from 1 species
AUUGAACGCUAGCGGGAUGCCUUACACAUGCAAGUCGAACGGAGUGGCGAACGGGUGAGUAAUGUAUCGGAAUGUGCCCAGUAGCGGGGGAUAACGACGCGAAACCGUAGCUAAUACCGCAUACUAUUGGAGCAGCCUAGUUCGGAUUAGCUAGUUGGUGGGGUAAAGGCCCACCAAGGCGACGAUCCGUAGCUGGUUUGAGAGGACGACCAGCCACACUGGGAUGGAGACACGGCCCAGACUCCUACGGGAGGCAGCAGUGGGGAAUUUUGGACAAUGGGGGAAACCCUGAUCCAGCCAUGCCGCGUGUGUGAUGAAGGUCUUCGGGUUGUAAAGCACUUUUAGUUGGAAAGCGGUACCUGCAGAAUAAGCACCGGCUAACUACGUGCCAGCAGCCGCGGUAAUUC